CUCUUAUUAAGAGUGAGUGGAGGGAUUUGGCCCUUAGAAACUCCAGCAACAGCUAAAAUGCGAUGUGCUAAUUCCAACAGUAUUUAAUACUGAAAGAUGAGAA
rfam:Staphylococcus sp. HGB0015 genomic scaffold aczIz-supercont1.2, whole genome shotgun sequence.